CAAAAACAUAGCUUAAAGAAUAUAUUUUAAGUAAAUUCUGCCCAGCGUAAAUUUAAUUAGCGGCCGCAGUACCUUGACUGUGCUAAGGUAGCAUAAUCAAUUGGCUUUUAAUUGAAGUCUGGAAUGAAAGGAAAAAUAAAGAAUUAACUGUCUCUUUUUAAUUUAUGUGAAUUUAUUUAUUAAGUGAAAAUACUUAAAUUUAGAAAAAAGACGAGAAGACCCUUAGAAUUUUUAUUAAUAUUAUUUUUUGUAUUUAUAUUUUUGUUGGGGCGACAAUGAAACAUAUUUAACUUUUAAGUUUUUCAAGACAUUAAUUUUUGUACGGUUAAAUUACCUUAGGGAUAACAGCAUAAUAAUUUAUAUAGCUUAUGACCUCGAUGUUGGACUAGGAACUAAAAGACUAACCGUCAAAAUAGAUUGUUCUGUUCGAACAAAAAUCUCCUACGUGAUCUGA
rnacentral:rRNA from 1 species